GACGAACGCUGGCGGCGUGCUUAACACAUGCAAGUCGAACGGAAAGGCCCUGCUUUUGUGGGGUGCUCGAGUGGCGAACGGGUGAGUAACACGUGAGUAACCUGCCCUUGACUUUGGGAUAACUUCAGGAAACUGGGGCUAAUACCGGAUAGGAGCUCCUGCUGCAUGGUGGGGGUUGGAAAGUUUCGGCGGUUGGGGAUGGACUCGCGGCUUAUCAGCUUGUUGGUGGGGUAGUGGCUUACCAAGGCUUUGACGGGUAGCCGGCCUGAGAGGGUGACUGGCCACAUUGGGACUGAGAUACGGCCCAGACUCCUACGGGAGGCAGCAGUGGGGAAUAUUGCACAAUGGGCGGAAGCCUGAUGCAGCAACGCCGCGUGCGGGAUGACGGCCUUCGGGUUGUAAACCGCUUUCGCCUGUGACGAAGCGUGAGUGACGGUAAUGGGUAAAGAAGCACCGGCUAACUACGUGCCAGCAGCCGCGGUGAUACGUAGGGUGCGAGCGUUGUCCGGAUUUAUUGGGCGUAAAGGGCUCGUAGGUGGUUGAUCGCGUCGGAAGUGUAAUCUUGGGGCUUAACCCUGAGCGUGCUUUCGAUACGGGUUGACUUGAGGAAGGUAGGGGAGAAUGGAAUUCCUGGUGGAGCGGUGGAAUGCGCAGAUAUCAGGAGGAACACCAGUGGCGAAGGCGGUUCUCUGGGCCUUUCCUGACGCUGAGGAGCGAAAGCGUGGGGAGCGAACAGGCUUAGAUACCCUGGUAGUCCACGCUGUAAACGGUGGGUACUAGGUGUGGGGUCCAUUCCACGGGUUCCGUGCCGUAGCUAACGCUUUAAGUACCCCGCCUGGGGAGUACGGCCGCAAGGCUAAAACUCAAAGGAAUUGACGGGGCCCCGCACAAGCGGCGGAGCAUGCGGAUUAAUUCGAUGCAACGCGUAGAACCUUACCUGGGUUUGACAUGGAUCGGGAGUGCUCAGAGAUGGGUGUGCCUCUUUUGGGGUCGGUUCACAGGUGGUGCAUGGCUGUCGUCAGCUCGUGUCGUGAGAUGUUGGGUUAAGUCCCGCAACGAGCGCAACCCUUGUUCACUGUUGCCAGCACGUUAUGGUGGGGACUCAGUGGAGACCGCCGGGGUCAACUCGGAGGAAGGUGGGGAUGACGUCAAGUCAUCAUGCCCCUUAUGUCCAGGGCUUCACGCAUGCUACAAUGGCUGGUACAGAGAGUGGCGAGCCUGUGAGGGUGAGCGAAUCUCGGAAAGCCGGUCUCAGUUCGGAUUGGGGUCUGCAACUCGACCUCAUGAAGUCGGAGUCGCUAGUAAUCGCAGAUCAGCAACGCUGCGGUGAAUACGUUCCCGGG
rnacentral:rRNA from 1 species